CACAAAGGCAAGGCAAGUGUGUAUUGC
rnacentral:piRNA from 1 species